rnacentral:miRNA from 1 species
ACCUGUAGCCGCUCGCUUAU